CAAAACCGAACUGUAAAGGCUUAGUUUGGUAUUGAGGUCUAUAUAACGCUAUUAGAUAGAAUGAAGUUGAGAAAAAGUAUAUAGGGAUAUGUUUCUGUGUUCUCCGAUGAAACCGCAGAAAUAUAUCGUAACCGACUAACCGCAAUAUGCCGAACGCAAUAUUACGUACGGAAACAAGCAGGGUAUUUUUCUAUCGUCGUUUCUUUUCGCACGUAACGCAAUCUCUCAGCAAUCCCAAACGAAGCCAAAGUCAUGGGGGGAAGGUGACUAGUUGAGUUAAGGGCAUUGUUUGGUUGAUCGAAAGUGAAGCAUCAAAAAUGACAUUUUUUAAAAGUGACGUCUUUUCGGUUGUUUAGUUUGUGAAAGUGAAUAUGAAAGUCGCUUUACAAAAGUUGAUCGAUAAAGUGAAUUAUAACUAAAUUUCUUAUUUUUUACUUCGGCUCAAAAAAUUCGAAAAUCACUGAAAAUGAAGAGCUUAGCUAAGAGGUUAUAGUUUAGUCUUAAUUAUAAUUUUUGAAUUUAUUUUAAAAUUGAAUUUUACUUUAAAUUUGAAUUAAAAUUAUAAUCACAUUCUAAAGUUAAUUUGUAAAUUCAAAUUCAACAUAAAAAUUUUUAAUUCAAAUUUGUGACUUUAUAUUUAAAUUUAAAUAUUUAUUUUUAUUUAAGUUUGAAUAUAGUAAUAUUUUCAAUUUUUUAUUUAUAAUUUUGACUUUAUUUUUAUUUAAAAUUUAAAUUUAAUUUUUAUUUAUUUUUAUGUCUUACAUUUUAAUUAUAAAUUCAACUCAACUCAGUUUAAGUUCAAAUUUUAUUUUAAAAUAGAAUUUUGAAUUCUUAAUUUAAAUAUAUAUAUAUAUAUAUAUAUAUAUAAAUUUUUAAUUUAAAUUUCGAGUAUAAGUAAUUUAUUUAUAUUUUCACCUCUUUAAAUAUAAUUAAAGAAUCAAAAUUAUAAAAUAAUAGUUUUCAUAUUUUAUUUUAUAGUUAACCAAACAAAUGAACUGAAUAGUUAUUUUUUUAAAAAUCACUUUUACAAAAGUGAUUUGUUUUCACUUCGGCAACUUUCGGACGACCAAACAUGCCCUAAGCGAAUUAGGCCCGAUUUGCUCAGAUAGCUCGCCCGCACUAACUCUUUGUUUGGAUGUGCCAAACACGCCCCUUACCCACAUUAUAACUCUCCAAAUGAGAAAAUUUUAUUUUUUCUCAUUUAUUUAGAUUGAGAGUUGAGAGAUAGAAUCAAAGAAAACAUAACCUUUCCAUACAUUUUCUUUCCUUUAGAUUCCUCAAUUCAAACAGCAGAAGAAAAAAUUAUUAUUAUUUUUUAUCAACUUUUGUAGUGCACAAUAAAAGCAACAUGUUUGAAAUGUGUAGUAAUAUGAGUGAGGCUACUAUGCUAUCGGAAGCACGGAGCCUUCCGUGUUUCCAGCUCGUUUUCGAUGUUACGAUUUUCGAAUCGUCGAUCGGCUCCGUUAAACUUGAUCUAGAGUAUUUGGAGUACCUAGAAAAUAAAUUUUAUAAUUUUACGAUAUCAUUUGCCUAGUGAACGAAGGGGCUGAAAAUCAACGGCUAAAAAUAAAAAUCUUACAAAAUGUAAUAGUAUGACAUUAAAAUUUUAAAUCAAAAAUAUUGAUCUUGUUUUAUAUAGUAUAAAGAAUUUUCUAUCAAAAUUUCACGUGAUUUGGAUAUUUCUACACAGUUAAACUUGCAAACGGCUCACUACGGCCAUUGAAAUUUGUUGAUUUUGAGCUCAUUCGAUCACUAGGCAAAUGAUAUCGAAAAAUAAUAAAAUUUAUUUUCUAGGUACUCCAAAUACUCUAGAUCAAGUUUAACGGANGAGAGAAAGAAAGGUAACACAUUACCUGCUUUAUUCAUUAAGCAAAUAAAAUUAGCUAUAUAAAGUGAGACAGCAAAAACCUCUAAGGGUUGGAAAAAUAAGGAGAAAAAGAAAAAGAUGAAGAGAAAAAAACCUGUGGGUAAGUGGAUACAUACAACGAAAUAAAGAGUCUAACAAACGCCGACAUCACCCAGCUCUACAGAAACUAGCCCACUACUUCGCCAGCGCUCUAAUACGAUGAGCAGAUGAGAUAGUGUUAAUAGGUAGAUUCCUACAAAUAACGUUAUUUCUUUCACGCCAGAUCAUCCGCCACGUGGCCGCCAUCAGGGUCUGAGCCUUCACCGCGUCAGUUUGCGAACCCCUCCCGAACCGCCCCUCCCAGACGAUAUUGACAUCCUUAGUGAAAGGCAAGCCGUUGAACUCGUCAAGGUGCAAAAAGAAAAGGAAUGCAUCACGGCUCAAUUCCUCCACAUAUUUUUUCACAUUGGGCCGAACUGUUCCUCUUCCACUUUCUUCGAAUCUUACUUUUCUUCAUCAGUAGUAAGAUGAAUCUCAUCCCUCAGUAUCGCCUCUUUCAUAUCUAUAUCCUUUUUUUUCUUACCGCCGUUUUCUACUUUUUUCUUAAACUAGAUUUUCACCCGUGCGAUGCACGGCUAAUAUAAUAAUAUAGAAUAAUAAAAAUUAUUAUGUGAUGAUAACAAAAAGAUUUUUUAAUUAAUUUUAUUUUUUUAACAAAUAAAAAAAUAUACUAUCAAUCUUAAUUAUAGUACAUAUUAAAGUACACAAGCUAGAGAAAAAAAAAAUUUGGACCAAAGUAAAUAUUCAACUAAAAUGCAAAAUUCNCGAAACUUCUACACUAUUUUAAGCCCGACUUCAAACCGAAAUAGCCGAACCGGGCCGGGUCAAUCAAAGAAAUGAUAAGCGCGGGCCUUUGUUUUCGAGACUCGCACUAGCUCAAAGAAUUCAGAUGGGCCCGAAUCGAGCUGCAAAACCGAACUGUAAAGACUUAGUUUGGUAUUGAGGUCUAUAUAACACUAUUAGAUAGAAUGAAGUUGAGAAAAAGUAUAUAGAAAUAUACUUCUGCGUUCUCCGAUGAAACCACCGCAAUAUGCGGAACGUAAUAUUACAUACGGAAACAAACAGGGUAUUUUUCUAUCGUCAUUUCUCAUCGCACGUAACGCAAUCUCCCAGCAAUCCCAAACGAAGCCAAAGUCGUGGGGGGAAGGUGACUAGGUGAGUUAAGGACAUUAUUUGGUUGAUCGAAAGUGAAGCAUCAAAAAUGACAUUUUUUAAAAGUGACGUCUUCUCGAUUGUUUGGUUUGUGAAAGUGAAUAUGAAAAUCGCUUUACAAAAGUUGAUCGAUAAAGUGAAUUAUAAUUAAAUCUCUUAUUUUUUUACUUCGGCUCAAAAAAUUCGAAAGUUACCGAAAAUGGAGAGCUUAGCUAAGAGGUUAUAGUUUAGUCUUAAUUAUAAUUUUUGAAUUUAUUUUUAAAAUUGAAUUUUACUUUAAAUUUGAAUUAAAAUUAUAAUCACAUUCUGAAGUUAAUUUGUAAAUUCAAAUUCAACAUAAAAAUUUUUAAAUUCAAAUUUGUGACUUUAUAUUUAAAUUUAAAUAUUUAUUUUUAUUUAAGUUUGAAUAUAAUAAUAAUAUUUUGAAUUUUUAUUUAUAAUUUUGACUUUAUUUUUAUUUAAACUUAAAUUUAAUUUUUAUUUAUUUUUAUGUCUUACAUUUUAAUUAUAAAUUCAACUCAACUCAGUUUAAGUUCAAAUUU
rnacentral:lncRNA from 1 species